rnacentral:rRNA from 1 species
UACGUAGGGUCCGAGCGUUGUCCGGAAUUAUUGGGCGUAAAGGGCUCGUAGGCGGCCAGGUAGGUCUGCUGUGAAAACUCGAGGCUCAACCUCGAGAUGUCGGCGGAAACCAUCUGGCUAGAGUCCGGAAGAGGAGAGUGGAAUUCCCGGUGUAGCGGUGAAAUGCGCAGAUAUCGGGAAGAACACCCGUGGCGAAGGCGGCUCACUGGACCGGAACUGACGCUGAGGCGCGAAAGCGUGGGGAGCGAACAGG